CCCCUCUCAGGAUUUCAUCUGGAGAGUUUCCAGUACUCUACGAGUCUCGGCUACAGGAUGGAAAGUCAAGCAGAGGCAUACCCAUUCCAUUCCUACUUUGGGCACUGGUUAGUGAGUGGAAGCCAAUCUGCUACAGGU